UUUCGAUAGCAAGUCGACAAAAAAAUGGCGUCGAAAUUGUCAUCAGCUGAUUGAAAUAUCAUAGUUAUUACCUUAUUUUUCUCAAACAGACUUACUAUUUUAUUAGUAUUUUUAUGCACAAAAAUCAGAAUUUGAAACACGACUGGUUGUCGCAGAAACACGCUACAUAAUAAUAUUGAGCUUGAUGAAUAAUUCGGGAACUCAUUCACGGAGUGAUUCAGCUCGUCGGAUGAUUCUAGAUAGGCAGGAGGUAAUAGAGUGUCGAGCUCGCCUAAUUUGUAAGGAGCUGAAUUAAAUUGCCUCCCGAAUAAUGAUCUUCGCCCGUGUUAAUAAGGCGAAAUCAUGGAGCACGGAGGUUUGGCCCAUUUUAUUUAACGUACCUUUGCGUUUUAAGGUCCUUAGUAUUUAGUUUUUUCUUAGAACGUCUCUUUUAAUCUAAUUUAAAAUGUUGUCAGCAUUACGUUCUUUAGCGCAAAUUAAUUAGAGGUUUUAUUACAUUACGCAUUAGUUUUGAACGUAAUUCAUUAUGGAAAAUAAUUUUCUUUACUUUGAUAGUCCAUCUAAAAGAAAAGUGUUUUAUAUAUAUGUGACAGCAAUUGCAUGAAAGGCUUUAAUAUAUAGGGUCUUGAUUAGUUUAUAUUUUAGUUACACAUCUCCAUGGUUACGAGAAUUUAAAAAGUGAGUUCACUUCAUUUCGAGAAAACGUAAACAAUUUUCAGUUUUUCCAGUUAUUAAGUUAGAAGGUAAAUCUAAUUGUGCGUAGUCGACUUCGUUUGUUGUUCGCAGAUUUUAUUGUUGCGGUGGCCCUCGGUUUUUCAGGAUUUUUUCUUGCUGUACGAAAAUAGAAUUAGUUGCGAGUUUAACUAGCGGAAAAGCUUUUGUUUUACCUAUGUUUAUGAUUUAUGUAAAAAGUGACGUAAACGUACUACCGUAUUUUGUGGCUCCUGAUUGGGAAGAAGUAGCUAAUUUGAUGAUAAGAUAACUGAAAAUCAUUGAAGUAUCUAGGAUUUUUUUGUGUAUGUUUAAAAAACCUAAAAUCUAUAGAUGACACAACUAUGCAACUUCUAACAUUUCUUCCUCACCUAAAGACGACUGCCUAACGACAGAAUGACAAUAUCUUUGCCUAAAACUUUUUCAGCCAAAACAUGCCGAACAUACUUCGAGGAUGAAAGAUUGUAAUAUUUUUGUGCUCUUAACAAAGAAAACCCUCAGGCAGCGGAGCCCCGGGGCGAAGUCAUUAAACUUAUACUCGAGUAGCUCACCGAAUUAAUUAAUUAAGCUAUAUAAUAUAUUGAAAGGUUCAUAAAGUGUAUAACGGUCGUUGACAAAAUUAAUAAUCUCGAAGAGGGUGUGAGCGUUUCAAAUGGUAUCAUUAAACGCUAUUAUUCGGAUGAUGAAAUUAAUUACGAACAUAAAAUUUACAUAUUUUCUGCUGAGUUGGUACUAAGCUGUUCUAUAGUACGGAGGGAGGUGUUGUUAAUCUGUUUAGAGGCGCUUCUGAGUAAAUUUGAUAACUAGGCAGUGAAGAUGUAAAAAUGUUAACGUAAUUAGAGCACAGCUAGAUUCUAACACAGGCGGGACCGGCAGACAUUUUGACAAAUUUCUAAAUUAGAUUUUACCACCUAUUCCCACUAAGUGUACUCUACUCUGGUCUAUGAUUCUUGAAAUCUAGUAUGAAGCAAUAAAAUAAGACUAUACACAAAUCACCCGUUUCAUAAUAGUAAAACAUCGCUUUGAUCUAAAUAUAGGUACCUACCUAUUUGAAGCUGGCAUCAUUAAAAGUUUUAGAUGUUUUAGAAGCAAAAAGUUUGCUAAUAAAAAGCAGGCUAGGUAUUUGGCGUUCAACUCUAGAAAAAAAAAGCGAUCAAUCAUUGAUUUAAAAUACGAAUGCAGGUUUUUAAUUUGUCUAUAGUGAACACGUCACUACUGAAAUCUUUUGCUUUUAAUUAGUUUACAAGAUUUUCCUACAUUGUUGGAUUCGAUCUAACUCAGUUUAACUUCUGUACGUAUUUAUAAAAUAUGUACAAAGCCAUAAACAUGUCUCGUAUAUCGUAGAUACGCGCUAAUGUGUACCAGCUAAGUAGGCAAUAGUUGGCGCUCAUUCACACGACCAUUGUCAAAAUAAUGGGCAGCACCGCCAUUUGGCGACUGGAUACGGGUCACAUUACACCAAAUGGUUAAUUAAAAUAUCUACGGUUAUAGUGCGUGUAUCCGAACUGUGAAAUCAUUUCAGUGGAAUGGAGCAAUGAAAGAGCGUAAACGGUUUGGGCAUUGAAUGAAACUACCACUUAUUAUACGUAAUAAAAUGAAAUGGAAAGGAUUAAUAAUUCGAAGUUAAAGAGUUCCAUGCGGCAUUCGUAAUAGGAGCAGGUUCAAUUCUAGUUGUACCUUUUACACCGGCUAUCAUGGCGGGGGCAGUUAACAGCGAAACUGAAAAAAUACAAUUGUUGUUUAUAAAGCAGUUAAUUGUGUGCAGAGGUAAUACCUUAUUUAAUUUAGUAAUC